CUCAUUCCCCUCGUUACUUCCCAGUGUAUUUAAACCCUGUGUUUCUCUGAGUCAGUGUCGCGUCAUCCCUCAAGCUGUGUGUUUCCUUGGGUGCCGCUCCGUCAAGUGUCAUCCCCGGAUUCCACACCAGUGUCAUAGUCCCUCAGCCUGGGCUGCAGGCCUCCCACGUAGCUGCUGAUGUCAGAGUCUCUGCAAACAGGAUUUACUGAUUCAUCCAUUUUUGCAAAAGCCUUAUAAUUAUCUGCCAUUAAAACAAACACACUUGAACCCUUGUAGCAUGCUUACAGAGCCAACUGGUCUCAAAUAUGGUUAAUAUGGUUCCCCAUUAUCCUUCAGCACCUUAAACUUCAAUACUUAAGCAUGAGCUGACCCAUCAGAGGUGGAUCAAGUGUUACUACAGAGUUAUGUGCACCUCUUCUCUUUACAGCAGACCUCAUUUCAAAUUUGGUACAAGUACACUGAUCGUGUGUUGACCUGAUGUGAACAGAAGUAUCCUCGUCUGACCAGCUGGAGUUCCCUCUUCACGGCAGGAAGCAGUUUCUGCAGCAGCUGACAUGUUCAACUUGGCAUGGCUGAUAAUGAUGCACUUUUACACAGCAACGAAGAAGAGUUUCUUACUGACCCACACUCACAAAUAAAUGUAUCUUCAUGGUACAUUUCUAUUUCAAAUGUUAUUUAUUCUCUCUGUUUCAGUGAGUGUUUUUCACUACAACACCAACAAUACAAAGCUCUUUCCUUAUGAAUUUAGCAAUGUUAAAAAUAUAAUGAAAGAGGCUUUGGUGGUGGAUUGUAGGUGUGAUUGU